rnacentral:tRNA from 1 species
GGAGAGAUAGCGAAGAGGCUAAACGCGGCGGACUGUAAAUCCGCUCCUUCGGGUUCGGGGGUUCUAAUCCCUCUCUCUCCA